rnacentral:snoRNA from 1 species
GUGCAUGGAUGAAUACUUUCUAUGUGCUUGAGACAUUGUCUUUGAUAGUUGCACAAAUCCUCUAAGAAGUUCUGAGCAU